CAGUAGCCGCGGGAAUACGGAGGGAGCUAGCGUUGUUCGGAAUCACUGGGCGUAAAGCACACGUAGGCGGCUAUUCAAGUCAGGGGUGAAAGCCCGGGGCUCAACCCCGGAACUGCCUUUGAAACUAGAUAGCUUGAAUCUUGGAGAGGCGAGUGGAAUUCCGAGUGUAGAGGUGAAAUUCGUAGAUAUUCGGAAGAACACCAGUGGCGAAGGCGACUCGCUGGACAAGUAUUGACGCUGAGGUGCGAAAGCGUGGGGAGCAAACAGGAUUAGAUACCCGAGUAGUCCCUGUCUCUUAUAC
rnacentral:rRNA from 1 species